UGUCUGCACUGUGUCUCAAAGAAAAUGGAU
rnacentral:piRNA from 1 species